rnacentral:lncRNA from 1 species
UAUCAGGGGCGUAGCUAGGUAUCAACUCAACUGUAGGCACAAAUCGGCAGGGGGUCUGGGCAGAGCCCUGGUAGGGGGUUCUGGGGGGCAAAGCACCCCGACGGAAAACGGUUUUCAGCAUUUUAGUUGCAUAAUUUUGUGUACAAAAAUAUCAUAUUUAUUGGUUUUUAUCAUGAUAAUAUUCAUGAAGAAAAGUUCGAAGAAUUAUGAAUAAUUUUACAUUAACACCU